GGCUCGUUUUAACUGGGGAGAAUGCAGUUCCUCCUUCCGUUCCUUUCGCGGGUGCGCGAGAGGCAGCUGGAGAGCGGUCAGCGGCCCACGAGGUAAUGAGGAUAGAGUCAGCAGUUAGUAUUUGUUUCUGAUGGUAUUGCAAGUUUCCUGUCUGGACUCUGCUAUGCUACUCCUUUGUAACCAGCAAGAUGUCACGUGAACUGUUAAAGAAAUAAGGCUAUCAGCAUUGGCCUCAGAGAUUUUGUUGCUCUGUCCAUAAAUCCCUAUAUUGUGAGAUGGGCUUUCAAAUGCUGCUUACCUGAAGCCUGCCAGCUCUCACCUGAACUGCUGAGUGGGAAAUACCUUCGUUAUGUGAUUUGCUGAGCUCAGACACAUUCAGAAAUGCCAUUUUCCUGACUUUGUUCUGCUCUUUGCAGCCAGCAAGAUGUUUGAAUUCUCUUCAGGUAAGUGGCGGGGGGGGAGUAUUGUUUUUGUGAUGCCUUUGUAUAUAUCUCUAUGCUGAAAAGAAUGAAACCUAGCACAGCUAAGGUAGGUAGAAGUCUAGGUUAAAAUAUGUGAACCAACACAACAAAUGAGUCAUGGAGAGCAGUCCUUUAAAAAGUUGUGAGGAAAUAGCC